ensembl:lncRNA
CUCGGCUGAGGGAUUGUCACAGAUGUCCCCGCUCCUGCCGACCCUGCUGCUCCCCCGGGCAGGGCAGGCAUGGCCCUGCCCUCAGCACACCGGGACUUCUCCCUCCUUGUCCCCUCCUUGUCCCCUCCCUGUCCCCUCCUUGUCACCCCAGCUGCUCUGCCCCUCUGGGAAUUGUGGAUGCUUGGGUGGCACCCCCUGCUAGGCAGCUGUCCCUUUGUCCCCAGAGCUCUUAAACACUGCUGGAUGCCCCAAAGCUCUUCCCAGGCUCCAGAUUUCCUCUCCACCCUUGUGUCACAUCCCCUGGUGGCAUCAGGGUCCUCCAUCAGCUCAGCCCUGCUCCUCAUAUCCCAAAAAACCCCAUCAGGAUUUUUCCAGAGCUGGGAAUUGUGUCACCCCCUGCUAGGCAGCUGUCCCCUUGUCCCCAGAGCUGUCAAACCCUUCUGGAUAACCCAAAGCUCUUCCCUCUCCACCCUGGGGACACCCUGCUCCUGCUUGUGUCACAUUCCCUGGUGGCAUCUCAUGUCCCCAGGGUCCCCAAGCUCAGCUCUGCUCCUCACCUCCCCAAAAACCCCACCAGGAUUUUCCCAGAGCUGCUGGAGGUUUCCCAGCCCGUUCAAGUGCCCCUCCAGCCACUUUUUGGAAUUAAGAAAUAAAAAGCAAAUCCAUCCUAGUGAUACAAGAUUGAUUAGAUGCCAUAGGUGCUGGGUGCUUUUCUAGCUUGUGGUGGUUUUUCUUAAUUCCCUUAAACCAAAAUUGAUUUAUAUGCUGUAGUUCAUGUAUUUUAUAUAUUUUUUUCCCCCCUGCAGUGAGAAUUACUGCUACAGCUUUUUUUUUGCUCAGGAUAAUAUUUUUAUAUUUGCCCCCUGGACAGAUGGAUCACAUCCAGGGCUGGAGAACCAUUCCAUGAUCUCCCUGAGGGGAUUUUCCCUCUCCAUGGACAAGCUGAGGGGUUCAGUCCAUGCAGUGCAGGGGGAGAAAUGGAAAUAAGAGCCCUCAAAUGCUGAAAACCAAGACCCAACAGCUCCUUUUCACAAUUUGCUCUAUUCAAGCAGCUUUGGAAUGGCUUCCCCUCUCUUUUUCCUGCUUGCAGCCCCUUGCUGAGGGAGGUCCCACCUCAAAACUCCUUCCUGGCUCAUCCCUUUGCAAAGACUCCUGGCUUUUAACCCGCACCUCACCCAAAGCGCCUGGGGCUGAAUGUUGGUUGUCCAGAGCACUUAAAAUGUCACUUUAUGAUGAUUUUUAAUUUUUUUUCCCCAUAAAGACCAGAGGGGGAAUGGGCGGGCACGGUAAAGCAGGAUGUGACAAAAAGGAUGUGAAAAAAGGGAUGGAAUUGCUGGGAAAAGCACUGAGGGCUUUGAGCAUGUGUGUGACAUGAUAAAAUCAGCCCCCUCCAGGUCUCACUGUUUUGCCAUUGAGCAAGUCCAGUAAAACCUUGCACCACCUCCUUUUUAUGCUCCAAAACAUGGAAAUAUUUUCCUUUUCCUCCUCAGCUUGGAUGUUAAAUCCCUCCACCCCUGUGUGGUGCCAGCUGGACCCUGCUGAGGCCACCCCUGUCCCCUCCUUGCUCCCCUUGCCCUCCCAGCCCAAAUUCCCACAGGAAUGGAGCUGCUCCCUGCUCCUGGAGACACCAGAACCCCCCUGGGAUCCCCAUUUCCGCCCCAGGAUGGGGCUCAGGGGGUUCUGGAACCUUCCCUGUGCUUCUCAAGGGGUUCCAGCCAGGCUUUGGGGUGUGCAGGAACUGUUUGUGUCCAGUCUUGGUCAGCAAAGCCCCAGGGAUUAUGAUGAUGAUGAUGAUGAUGAUGAUGAUGAUGAUGAUGGUGAUUCCUCCUCAGGACAGGUGAUGUAAACGAGGCCCCUCACGUGUGCACCACGCUGCAGAAAUAAAAAAUAAAGGAGAAAGCUCCA